rnacentral:rRNA from 1 species
ACACAUGCAGUCGAACGGCAGCAUGAUCUAGCUUGCUAGAUUGAUGGCGAGUGGCGAACGGGUGAGUAAUACAUCGGAACGUGCCCUGUAGUGGGGGAUAACUAGUCGAAAGAUUAGCUAAUACCGCAUACGACCUGAGGGUGAAAGUGGGGGACCGCAAGGCCUCAUGCUAUAGGAGCGGCCGAUGUCUGAUUAGCUAGUUGGUGAGGUAAAGGCUCACCAAGGCGACGAUCAGUAGCUGGUCUGAGAGGACGAUCAGCCACACUGGGACUGAGACACGGCCCAGACUCCUACGGGAGGCAGCAGUGGGGAAUUUUGGACAAUGGGCGAAAGCCUGAUCCAGCAAUGCCGCGUGUGUGAAGAAGGCCUUCGGGUUGUAAAGCACUUUUGUCCGGAAAGAAAUGGCUCUGGUUAAUACCUGGGGUCGAUGACGGUACCGGAAGAAUAAGGACCGGCUAACUACGUGCCAGCAGCCGCGGUAAUACGUAGGGUCCAAGCGUUAAUCGGAAUUACUGGGCGUAAAGCGUGCGCAGGCGGUUGUGCAAGACCGAUGUGAAAUCCCCGAGCUUAACUUGGGAAUUGCAUUGGUGACUGCACGGCUAGAGUGUGUCAGAGGGGGGUAGAAUUCCACGUGUAGCAGUGAAAUGCGUAGAGAUGUGGAGGAAUACCGAUGGCGAAGGCAGCCCCCUGGGAUAACACUGACGCUCAUGCACGAAAGCGUGGGGAGCAAACAGGA